AUUGAACGCUGGCGGCAGGCCUAACACAUGCAAGUCGAGCGGAUGAAGGGAGCUUGCUCCUGGAUUCAGCGGCGGACGGGUGAGUAAUGCCUAGGAAUCUGCCUGGUAGUGGGGGAUAACGUCCGGAAACGGGCGCUAAUACCGCAUACGUCCUGAGGGAGAAAGUGGGGGAUCUUCGGACCUCACGCUAUCAGAUGAGCCUAGGUCGGAUUAGCUAGUUGGUGGGGUAAAGGCCUACCAAGGCGACGAUCCGUAACUGGUCUGAGAGGAUGAUCAGUCACACUGGAACUGAGACACGGUCCAGACUCCUACGGGAGGCAGCAGUGGGGAAUAUUGGAGAAUGGGCGAAAGCCUGAUCCAGCCAUGCCGCGUGUGUGAAGAAGGUCUUCGGAUUGUAAAGCACUUUAAGUUGGGAGGAAGGGCAGUAAGUUAGUACCUUGCUGUUUUGACGUUACCAACAGAAUAAGCACCGGCUAACUUCGUG
rnacentral:rRNA from 1 species